rnacentral:misc_RNA from 1 species
GAUGAAGAACGUAGUGAAAUGCGAUAAGUAAUGUGAAUUGCAGAAUUCAGUGAUUCAUCGAAUCUUUGAACGCACAUUGCGCCCCCUGGUAUUCCGGGGGGCAUGCCUGUUCGAGCGUCAUUUCACCACUCAAGCCUCGCUUGGUAUUGGGCAACGCGGUCCGCCGCGUGCCUCAAAUCGACCGGCUGGGUCUUCUGUCCCCUAAGCGUUGUGGAAACUAUUCGCUAAAGGGUGUUCGGGAGGCUACGCCGUAAAACAACCCCAUUUCUAAGGUUGACCUCGGAUCAGGUAGGGAUACCCGCUGAACUUAAGCAUAUCAAUAAGCGGAGGA